rnacentral:rRNA from 1 species
UCCACGCCCUAAACGAUGCUGACUAGUUGUUCGGGAUUUACAUCCUGAGUAACGUAGCUAACGCGUGAAGUCAGCCGCCUGGGGAGUACGGUCGCAAGAUUAAAACUCAAAGGAAUUGACGGGGACCCGCACAAGCGGUGGAUGAUGUGGAUUAAUUCGAUGCAACGCGAAAAACCUUACCUACCCUUGACAUGUCACUAACGAAGUAGAGAUACAUUAGGUGCCCGUAAGGGAAAGUGAACACAGGUGCUGCAUGGCUGUCGUCAGCUCGUGUCGUGAGAUGUUGGGUUAAGUCCCGCAACGAGCGCAACCCUUGUCUUUAGUUGCUACGCAAGAGCACUCUAAAGAGACUGCCGGUGACAAACCGGAGGAAGGUGGGGAUGACGUCAAGUCCUCAUGGCCCUUAUGGGUAGGGCUUCACA